AUUGAACGCUGGCGGUAUGCCUUACACAUGCAAGUCGAACGGUAGAGGGGCAACCCUUGAGAGUGGCGAACGGGUGAGUAAUACAUCGGAACGUGCCCAGUCGUGGGGGAUAACGUAGCGAAAGCUACGCUAAUACCGCAUACGACCUGAGGGUGAAAGCGGGGGAUCGCAAGACCUCGCGCGAUUGGAGCGGCCGAUGGCAGAUUAGGUAGUUGGUGGGGUAAAGGCCUACCAAGCCUGCGAUCUGUAGCUGGUCUGAGAGGACGACCAGCCACACUGGGACUGAGACACGGCCCAGACUCCUACGGGAGGCAGCAGUGGGGAAUUUUGGACAAUGGGCGAAAGCCUGAUCCAGCCAUACCGCGUGCGGGAAGAAGGCCUUCGGGUUGUAAACCGCUUUUGUCAGGGAAGAAAUCUUCUGGGCUAAUACCUCGGGAGGAUGACGGUACCUGAGGAAUAAGCACCGGCUAACUACGUGCCAGCAGCCGCUGUAA
rnacentral:rRNA from 1 species